GAUGAAGAACGUAGCGAAAUGCGAUAAGUAAUGUGAAUUGCAGAAUUCAGUGAAUCAUCGAAUCUUUGAACGCACCUUGCGCCCCUUGGUUAUUCCAAAGGGCAUGUCUGUUUGAGUAUCAUGAACACCUCAACUCUUGUGGUUUCCCACAAUGAGCUUGGACUGUGGAGGUUUUGUUGGCCCUGUGGUCAGCUCCUCUCAAAUGGAUCAGCUUACCGGUGUUUGGUGGCAUUACGGGUGUGAUAACUAUCUACGCUCGUGGUCGUCUCCAAAUAACCUCCAGUGAUGGAGGUUCGCUGGAGCUUAUAAAUGUCUCUCCCCAGUGAAGACAGCCUUUGAACGUUCGAUCUCAAAUCAGGUAGGACUACCCGCUGAACUUAAGCAUAUCAAUAAGCGGAGGA
rnacentral:misc_RNA from 1 species